rnacentral:rRNA from 1 species
CCUACGGGGGGCUGCAGUUAGGAAUUUUGGGCAAUGGGCGAAAGCCUGACCCAGCAACGCCGCGUGGGUGACGAAGGCCUUCGGGUUGUAAAGCCCUUUUCUGAGGGAAGAUGAUGACGGUACCUCAGGAAUAAGCACCGGCUAACUACGUGCCAGCAGCCGCGGUAAUACGUAGGGUGCAAGCGUUGCCCGGAUUUAUUGGGCGUAAAGGGCGCGCAGGCGGCUACGCACGUUCGUUGUGAAAUCGCCCGGCUCAACUGGGCGGGGUCAGCGAAUACGGCGUGGCUGGAGCAAGCUAGGGGGCAAUGGAAUUCCCGGUGUAGUGGUGGAAUGCGUAGAUAUCGGGAGGAACACCAGUGGCGAAGGCGGUUGCCUGGAGCUUUGCUGACGCUGAGGCGCGAAAGCGUGGGGAGCGAUCCGGAUUAGAUACCCUAGUAGUC